AUUGAACGCUGGCGGCAGGCUUAACACAUGCAAGUCGAGCGGAGAUGAGGUGCUUGCACCUUAUCUUAGCGGCGGACGGGUGAGUAAUGCUUAGGAAUCUGCCUAUUAGUGGGGGACAACAUUCCGAAAGGAAUGCUAAUGCCGCAUACGCCCUACGGGGGAAAGCAGGGGAUCUUCGGACCUUGCGCUAAUAGAUGAGCCUAAGUCGGAUUAGCUAGUUGGUGGGGUAAAGGCCUACCAAGGCGACGAUCUGUAGCGGGUCUGAGAGGAUGAUCCGCCACACUGGGACUGAGACACGGCCCAGACUCCUACGGGAGGCAGCAGUGGGGAAUAUUGGACAAUGGGCGGAAGCCUGAUCCAGCCAUGCCGCGUGUGUGAAGAAGGCCUUUUGGUUGUAAAGCACUUUAAGCGAGGAGGAGGCUACCGAGAUUAAUACUCUAGGAUAGUGGACGUUACUCGCAGAAUAAGCACCGGCUAACUCUGUGCCAGCAGCCGCCGUAACAC
rnacentral:rRNA from 1 species